AGAGUUUGAUCAUGGCUCAGGAUGAACGCUAGCGGCAGGCUUAAUACAUGCAAGUCGAGGGGCAGCACGGGUAGCAAUACCUGGUGGCGACCGGCAAACGGGUGCGGAACACGUACACAACCUUCCCUUGAGGCGGGGGAUAGCCCAGAGAAAUUUGGAUUAAUACCCCAUAAGAUAUUGUCCCGGCAUCGGGAAGAUAUUAAAGAUUUAUCACCUUAGGAUGGGUGUGCGUAUGAUUAGGUAGUUGGUGCGGGUAACGGCCCACCAAGCCAUCGAUCAUUAACUGGUGUGAGAGCACGACCAGUCACACGGGCACUGAGACACGGGCCCGACUCCUACGGGAGGCAGCAGUAAGGAAUAUUGGUCAAUGGACGAAAGUCUGAACCAGCCAUGCCGCGUGAAGGAUGACGGCCCUCUGGGUUGUAAACUUCUUUUAUCUGGGACGAAAAAGGGCCAUUCUUGGUCAACUGACGGUACCAGAGGAAUAAGCACCGGCUAACUCCGUGCCAGCAGCCGCGGUAAUACGGAGGGUGCAAGCGUUAUCCGGAUUUACUGGGUUUAAAGGGAGCGCAGGCGGAUUGGUAAGUCAGUGGUGAAAUACCCGUGCUUAACAUGGGAACUGCCAUUGAUACUAUCAGUCUUGAAUGUUGUUGAGGUUUGCGGAAUGGGUCAUGUAGCGGUGAAAUGCAUAGAUAUGACCCGGAACACCUAUUGCGAAGGCAGCAGGCUAAACAAAUAUUGACGCUGAGGCUCGAAAGCGUGGGGAUCAAACAGGAUUAGAUACCCUAGUAGUCC
rnacentral:rRNA from 1 species